rnacentral:rRNA from 1 species
GACGAACGCUGGCGGCGUGCUUAACACAUGCAAGUCGAACGGAAAGGCCCUGCUUUUGUGGGGUGCUCGAGUGGCGAACGGGUGAGUAACACGUGAGUAACCUGCCCUUGACUUUGGGAUAACUUCAGGAAACUGGGGCUAAUACCGGAUAGGAGCUCCUGCUGCAUGGUGGGGGUUGGAAAGUUUCGGCGGUUGGGGAUGGACUCGCGGCUUAUCAGCUUGUUGGUGGGGUAGUGGCUUACCAAGGCUUUGACGGGUAGCCGGCCUGAGAGGGUGACCGGCCACAUUGGGCCUGAGAUACGGCCCAGACUCCUACGGGCGGCAGAAGUGGGGAAUAUUGCACAAUGGGCGGAAGCCUGAUGCAGCAACGCCGCGUGCGGGAUGACGUCCUUCGGGUUGUAAACCGCUUUCGCCUGUGACGAAGCGUGAGUGACGGUAAUGGGUAAAGAAGCACCGGCUAACUACGUG